CUGCUUGGACAGCAAUUGUUUUAAUCUUAGAAUGGAGGGAAAGCCGAUGUUCGUGCAAUUCUGUCGCACCCAUGUAAUGUUAAUAUUCUUCCAUUAAACAUGCAUAUUUUCCCUCAUUUUUUCCUUCAUUGGAAAAUACUAUUGUCUUUUUUAAUUUUAACGCAUAGUGCUGGUAAGUAACUUCCUCGCCAUGUUUUAAAGAGCAAUUUGCUUCAUUCUAUCCUUUGUUGUUUGGCUGUUAAGUACCCUUUACAGUGUCUUGGUAUUGGUAGGC
rnacentral:lncRNA from 1 species